rnacentral:snRNA from 1 species
GUGCUCGCUUCAGCAGCACAUAUACUAAAAUUGGAACAAGACAGAGAAGAUUAGCACGUUCCCUGCGCAAGGAGGAUAUGCAGAUUCCUGGAGCAUUCCAUACUCUU